AGCGAACGCUGGCGGCAGGCCUAACACAUGCAAGUCGAACGAACUCUUCGGAGUUAGUGGCGGACGGGUGAGUAACACGUGGGAACGUGCCUUUUGGUUCGGAAUAACUCAGGGAAACUUGUGCUAAUACCGAAUGUGCCCUUCGGGGGAAAGAUUUAUCGCCAUUAGAGCGGCCCGCGUCUGAUUAGCUAGUUGGUGAGGUAACGGCUCACCAAGGCGACGAUCAGUGGCUGGUCUGAGAGGAUGACCAGCCACACUGGGACUGAGACACGGCCCAGACUCCUACGGGAGGCAGCAGUGGGGAAUCUUGCGCAAUGGGCGAAAGCCUGACGCAGCCAUGCCGCGUGAAUGAUGAAGGUCUUAGGAUUGUAAAAUUCUUUCACCGGGGACGAUAAUGACGGUACCCGGAGAAGAAGCCCCGGCUAACUUCGUG
rnacentral:rRNA from 1 species